rnacentral:rRNA from 1 species
UACGAAGGGGGCUAGCGUUGUUCGGAUUUACUGGGCGUAAAGCGCACGUAGGCGGGUUGUUAAGUCAGGGGUGAAAUCCUGGAGCUCAACUCCAGAACUGCCUUUGAUACUGGCAACCUAGAGGCUGGAAGAGGUUAGUGGAAUUCCCAGUGUAGAGGUGAAAUUCGUAGAUAUCGGGAGGAACACCAGUGGCGAAGGCGACUACCUGGCCUGUUCUUGACGCUGAGGCGCGAAAGCUAGGGGAGCAAACGGG